UUCCAUCAUUUAUCAGUCUGAAUGUUGAUAUAUGACUUAUCCAACGACAAGGUUUUUUAAUUCCAAUGACAUUCAAGAGAUUUUCAAGUCUAGCUUCUCUUAAGCACAAAUCUCGC